rnacentral:rRNA from 1 species
GAUGAACGCUGGCGGCGUGCCUAAUACAUGCAAGUCGAGCGAACGGACGAGAAGCUUGCUUCUCUGAUGUUAGCGGCGGACGGGUGAGUAACACGUGGAUAACCUACCUAUAAGACUGGGAUAACUUCGGGAAACCGGAUCUAAUAUCGGAUAAGAUUUUGAACCGCAUGGUUCAAAAGUGAAAGACGGUCUUGCUGUCACUUAUAGAUGGAUCCGCGCUGCAUUAGCUAGUUGGUAAGGUAACGGCCUACCAAGGCAACGAUGCAUAGCUGACCUGAGAGGGUGAUCGGCCACACUGGAACUGAGACACGGUCCAGACUCCUACGGGAGGCAGCAGUGGGGAAUCUUCCGCAAUGGGCGAAAGCCUGACGGAGCAACGCCGCGUGAGUGAUGAAGGUCUUCGGAUCGUAAAACUCUGUUAGUAGGGAAGAACAUAUGUGUAAGUAACUGUGCACAUCUUGACGGUACCUAAUCAGAAAGCCACGGCUAACUACGUG